rnacentral:rRNA from 1 species
AGUCGAACGCGAAAGGGAGCAAUCCCAAGUAGAGUGGCGAAAGGGCGAGGAAUAAAUUCCUACGUACCCCAAGGUCGGGGAUACCUCGGAGAAAUCCGAAUCAAUACCCGAUGUGGUCCGAAAGGAUCAAAGGCUUGCUGCCUUGGGAGCGGGGAAUUUCCUAUCAGGUAGUUGGUAGGGUAAUGGCCUACCAAGCCAGAGACGGGUAGCGGGUGUGAGAGCACGGCCCGCCGCAUCGAGACUGAGACACUGCUCGGACUCCUACGGGAGGCUGCAGUAACGAAUCUUCCGCAAUGCGCGAAAGCGUGACGGGGCAAUGCCGCGUGCAGGAUGAAGCCCUUCGGGGUGUAAACUGCUGUCAGGGUGCAGGAACUCAAUGACCAUACCCAAAGGAAGCACCGGCUAACUCUGUGCCAGCAGCCGCGGUAAUACAGAGGGUGCAAGCGUUAAUCGGAAUCACUGGGCUUAAAGCGUUCGUAGGCGGGCUUGCAGGCACUUUGUGAAAGCCCCCGGCUCAACCGGGGAACUGCUUGGUGAACCUCAAGUCUUGAGUCAAGUAGGGGCGGUCGGAACGAUAGGUGGAGCGGUGAAAUGCGUA